UUACAAUUUUUUAUAUGAAAUUCAAGUUUAUAAUUUGUAAUUGUUAAAUAAAACUACUUUAGUAAUGAUAGCUUGAUAUUUGUGACAUAUUUGUUUGUGGCCUCAAUGUGAGGUGUUAAUUUAGAGCUCUUGUAAAAGGUCAAUAUACAGCAAGCAGGAAGAAGAUGAAAAACAGAAGUGAAAGGUACUGGUCCAAUUCUUAAAAAAAAAAAAUUUCAGUGUUCCUAGGCCUCAGUGUUGAGGGGACUGGGUUCAUUUAUGCAAGUUGGAGUUGGCAACCCAUCUCAGAUAGGAGUGAGCAGAAUUCACUUCCAACCGAAAAAACUGACCAAAUCAAUUUAAUUUGGAAAUUCAGUUUUGUUUAUUGGUAAAUUGGUUUGGUUCAAUUUUUAGUUAAAUUUGUUAUGUGUUCGUCCCUACUUUUCCUUGCUCAAAUCUUUUUUUGACUUGAUUUUAUACUUUGU
rnacentral:misc_RNA from 1 species